AUUGAACGCUGGCGGCAGGCCUAACACAUGCAAGUCGAGCGGAUGAAGGGAGCUUGCUCCUGGAUUCAGCGGCGGACGGGUGAGUAAUGCCUAGGAAUCUGCCUGGUAGUGGGGGAUAACGUCCGGAAACGGGCGCUAAUACCGCAUACGUCCUGAGGGAGAAAGUGGGGGAUCUUCGGACCUCACGCUAUCAGAUGAGCCUAGGUCGGAUUAGCUAGUUGGCGGGGUAAAGGCCUACCAAGGCGACGAUCCGUAACUGGUCUGAGAGGAUGAUCAGUCACACUGGAACUGAGACACGGUCCAGACUCCUACGGGAGGCAGCAGUGGGGAAUAUUGGACAAUGGGCGAAAGCCUGAUCCAGCCAUGCCGCGUGUGUGAAGAAGGUCUUCGGAUUGUAAAGCACUUUAAGUCGGGAGGAAGGGCAGUAAGUUAAUACCUUGCUGUUUUGACGUUACCAACAGAAUAAGCACCGGCUAACUUCGUG
rnacentral:rRNA from 1 species